rnacentral:rRNA from 1 species
GUAAACGGCGGCCGUAACUAUAACGGUCCUAAGGUAGCGAAAUUCCUUGUCGGGUAAGUUCCGACCCGCACGAAAGGCGCAACGAUCUGGGCACUGUCUCAACGAGAGACUCGGUGAAAUUAUAGUACCUGUGAAGAUGCAGGUUACCCGCGACAGGACGGAAAGACCCCGUGGAGCUUUACUGCAACCUGAUAUGGAAUGUUUGUACCGCUUGUACAGGAUAGGUAGGAGCCGAAGAGACGUGUGCGCUAGCAUACGAGGAGGCAAUGGUGGGAUACUACCCUGGCUGUAUGACCAUUCUAACCCGCCACGCUUAGCGCGUGGGGAGACAGUGUCAGGUGGGCAGUUUGACUGGGGCGGUCGCCUCCUAAAGAGUAACGGAGGCGCCCAAAGGUUCCCUCAGAAUGGAUGGAAAUCAUUCGCAGAGUGUAAAGGCACAAGGGAGCUUGACUGCGAGACUGACAAGUCGAGCAGGGACGAAAGUCGGGCUUAGUGAUCCGGUGGUUCCGCAUGGAAGGGCCAUCGCUCAACGGAUAAAAGCUACCCCGGGGAUAACAGGCUUAUCUCCCCCAAGAGUCCACAUCGACGGGGAGGUUUGGCACCUCGAUGUCGGCUCGUCGCAUCCUGGGGCUGUAGUCGGUCCCAAGGGUUGGGCUGUUCGCCCAUUAAAGCGGCACGCGAGCUGGGUUCAGAACGUCGUGAGACAGUUCGGUCCCUAUCCGUCGCGGGCGCAGGAAAUUUGAGAGGAGCUGUCCUUAGUACGAGAGGACCGGGAUGGACACACCGCUGGUGUACCAGUUGUUCCGCCAGGAGCAUCGCUGGGUAGCUAUGUGUGGCAGGGAUAAACGCUGAAAGCAUCUAAGCGUGAAGCCCCCCUCAAGAUGAGAUUUCCCAUUUCUUCGGAAAGUAAGAUCCCUGAAAGAUGAUCAGGUAGAUAGGUUUGGAGUGGAAGUGUAGCGAUACAUGGAGCGGACAAAUACUAAUCGAUCGAGGACUUAACCAAAAA